CCUACGGGGUGCAGCAGUGAGGAAUAUUGGUCAAUGGCCGGAAGGCUGAACCAGCCAUGCCGCGUGAAGGUCAGUGCCCUAUGGGCGUUAAACUUCUUUUGUGCGGGAGCAAUAAUGGUCACGUGUGGCCAGACGAGAGUACCGUACGAAUAAGCAUCUGGUAACUCCGUGCCAGCAGCCGCGGUCAUACGGGGGAUGCAAGCAUUAUCCGGAUUUAUUGGGUUUAAAGGGUGCGUAGGCUGUGAGGUAAGUCAGCGGUGAAAUGCCGCCGCUCAACGGGGUGAAGUGCCAUUGAAACUGCCUGGCUGGAAUGCGGAUGCCGUGGGAGGAAUGUGUGGUGUAGCGGUGAAAUGCAUAGAUAUCACACAGAACACCGAGUGCGAAGGCAUCUCACGAAUCCGCGAUUGACGCUGAUGCACGAAAGCGUGGGUAUCAAACAGGAUUAGAUACCCCUGUAGUC
rnacentral:rRNA from 1 species